rnacentral:misc_RNA from 1 species
GAAAACAGCAAUAAGGAUUAAUAUAUUGCUAACACUGUGAAUGAUGCUUGGAUCUAAUGCCUCUAAGUAUUAUAUGUUAGGACAAAAACUGCUUUCAUGUUGAAGAUAAAAUAACAAGCAUAUGUGCACUUGACAUUUCUCGCUCCUAAACCUGAACAAAUUCACACUGACCCCUCUGUAUCAUUGUCAUUAGUUCUGGAGCAGGGAUGUCCAUCGUUACUGUAUGUUUAUUUCUGUAUCUACAGGGAAUAAAUUAACUCCAAAGAGUUGUGCAAAUCUACAAGGGUUUAAAUGUUGGUGCAUUUAGUCAUAAUAUAGGUAGGGACUAUACAAGAGUGUGAGAGGGCCGCCCCUGGGUUAGAUGAUCCCUGGGUGAGUGGUCUUUGUGAGGAAUUCUUCCCCCCUUACUGUGAUAUUUGUGUAGUCUUUGGAUGUGUGUGUGUGAAUCACAGUAUCUGUGUACUUACACGGGAGCCAACUAAUGAAUGAAGUGAAUACCUGGAGAUAUCAACAGACAAGUAGAGCAUUAGAUUUGUACACACUACAUUAUGAUUGUUGCUACUGAGGGAAUUCAUUGCCCAGUUAUUUUAUUGGGAAUUAUUAUGAAUAAAAUAAAUAACCUU